rnacentral:lncRNA from 1 species
CAGUGCAAUGCUGUCACAUGGCAUGUCUCGGCAGACUUUCAGCUUUACAUUAUAAAUUUAUUCAUACUAUACAUAAAGUUUAAAUGCAAUUUUAAUGACUUUAAAUUUUGUGCCACGAUAUUGAUAUUUUCCAUCAUUUUACAUGGAAUAACUUUACACAUUUAUGAUGCUGGUCCCCUUUACCAACCAUCACUGAGAUAUUUUGAAGCAAGGUCAUUAUAUCAUUCAUUAAAGUAUGUGAUCUCCUAUAUGUCAACACCUUCAUUAUGGUCCUCAAGUUUUAUUGGAGUAAUAUUUGGAAUAAUUUAUAUUAGAAGCAGAAAUAUUAGUGUAAAACCAAAUACGGGAUUAAACAUAGUUUGGUUUAGUAUUUCGAUUGGACUUAUUUAUUUGUCUAACCAGAUGGGCGCUAUAAAUGUAAAUGGAAUUAAAGCAUCUUUGCUUGGAUCUAUUAUUAAGCCCAUAUUUUGUAUAGGAUGUGGCUUAGGUGUUUACGGCAUGUCACACAAUUUU